GUUACUUAAUGCAUAUGGUGGAUGCCUUGACUGAAGUAAGCGAUGAAGGACGCAGCAGGCUGCGAUAAUCCUCGGGGAGCUGUCAAGCAAGCUUUGAUCCGUGGGUUUCCGAAUGGGGCAACCCUACGUCUUCGGACGUAAUCACUGACUGAAUCAAUAGGUCAGCGAAGCAGACCCUGGGAAUUGAAACAUCUUAGUACCAGGAGGAAAAGAAAACAAUUGUGAUUCCGCAAGUAGUGGCGAGCGAACGCGGAAGAGUCUAAACCGUAUCCUUCGGGAUGCGGGGUUGCGAGGUAGUCAUACUCGUUUGAUCGGGGUAUGUCAUGUUCCCUUAGCAAAAUCCUUUGGAAAGAGGAACCAUAGCGGGUAAUAGUCCCGUAUGUGAAAAGCGAACAUGCCAGAUGAGACUAUCCUCAAGUAGGGCGGGACCGGUGAAAUCCCGUCUGAAUCUGGGAGCACUACACUUCCAAGACUAAAUAUUACUUCAGAUCGAUAGCGAACUAGUACCGUGAGGGAAAGGUGAAAAGCAUCCCGGUGAGGGAGGUGAAAUAGAACUGAAACCAUGUGCUAACGAAGAGUUGGAGCGGUCGCUUGCGACCGUGACAGCGUGCUUUUUGCAGAACGAGCCAACGAGUUAGUUUUAUACGGCUUGUCUAAGGGGUCAAACCCCCGGAGACGUAGUGAAAGCGAGCCUUAAUAGGGCGUUUGUCGUAUGGACUAGACCCGAAGCCGGACGAGCUACAUAUGAGCAGGUUGAACCUUGGGUAACACCAGGGGGAGGACCGAACCCACGAGCCGUGCAACACUCGGGGAUGACUUGUGUGUAGGGGAGAAAUUCCAAUCGAGUUCGGCAAUAGCUGGUUCUCUCCGAAAUAGCUUGAGGGCUAGCGUCAUGUAAUUACAUCCAAGAGGUAGAGCUACUGAAUGGAAACUCGCGGUUCGCCGUAGAUUUUCCAAUCAAACUCCGAAUUCUUGUGAUGCGUAUCAUGGCAGUCAGAAAUCCGGCGCUAAGGUCGGAUCUCAAAAGGGAAACAGCCCAGAUCAUCAUCUAAGGUCCCUAAAUCUAUGUUAAGUGGUAAAGGAAGUGAAGUUUCUUAUACAUCUAGGAGGUUGGCUUAGAAGCAGCCACCCUUUAAAGAGUGCGUAACAGCUCACUAGACUAGAGACUUCGCGCCGAAAAUGUAACGGGGCUAAACAUAGUACCGAAGAUAUGGGAUUCAGAUUUAUCUGGAUCGGUAGGAGAGUGUUCUAUAUGCGUUGAAGCCAAAGGGGCGACCCAUGGUGGAGUUUAUAGAAGUAAGAAUGUUGGCAUGAGUAACCACAAUUUGGAUGAAAACUCCAAACACCGUAAGUCUAAGGUUUCCUGGGCAACGUCGAUCGACCCAGGGUUAGUCGGUCCUAAGGCGAGGCUGAAAGGCGUAGUCGAUGGACAGCAGGUUAAUAUUCCUGCACUAUGAUAAUAUUCGAAGGAGUGACGCAUUCUAGUAUACUCUGCGCCUUAUUGGAUUGGCGUAGCGGUUCUUAGGACGUCGUGUAGGCAAAUCCGCACGGCAUUAAGUCCAAGGAGCAACUGAACUUUCCCGUUCGCGGGAAGGAACUGAGUAAAGCAGGGUGCCAGGAAAAGCUUCUAAGGUUAAUAUUAUCGUAUCCGUACCGAAAACCGACACAGGUAGACGAGGCGAGUAGCCUAAGGUGAACGGGAGAACCUUCGUUAAGGAACUCGGCAAAAAAACUAGACGUAAG
rnacentral:rRNA from 1 species